GAUGAACGCUGGCGGCGUGCCUAAUACAUGCAAGUCGAGCGAACGGACGAGAAGCUUGCUUCUCUGACGUUAGCGGCGGACGGGUGAGUAACACGUGGAUAACCUACCUAUAAGACUGGGAUAACUUCGGGAAACCGUAGCUAAUACCGGAUAAUAUUUUGAACCGCAUGGUUCAAAAGUGAAAGACGGUUUUGCUGUCACUUAUAGAUGGAUCCGCGCUGCAUUAGCUAGUUGGUAAGGUAACGGCUUACCAAGGCAACGAUGCGUAGCCGACCUGAGAGGGUGAUCGGCCACACUGGAACUGAGACACGGUCCAGACUCCUACGGGAGGCAGCAGUAGGGAAUCUUCCGCAAUGGGCGAAAGCCUGACGGAGCAACGCCGCGUGAGUGAUGAAGGUCUUCGGAUCGUAAAACUCUGUUAUUAGGGAAGAACAUAUGUGUAAGUAACUAUGCACAUCUUGACGGUACCUAAUCAGAAAGCCACGGCUAACUACGUG
rnacentral:rRNA from 1 species